rnacentral:lncRNA from 1 species
AGAAAUGACCAGUUCAAGAGGAGAAUGAGAUUGGCUUCCAAAUGUUGGUCAAGAGCUCUACGUAGCAUGAGCCAAGGAUCUAUUGAACUUAGUAGGCUCCUGUGACCGGUGACUCUUCUGUCUCUAGAAAUCUGGGGAGGUGACCAGGUCAUACAUGGCAGUCUUCCCGUGAGGAACGUUAAACUGGUUGGAAGUUGGGGUUCUGAGGGGAAGAUGUAUUCACUAGGUGACCUGUCUUCUCUGCCUCGGUGGCCUCCAUGGCUGCCUGCUGGCCGCACACCCCCACUCAGCAGAGGAAUGGACUUUCCAAUCUUGCUGAGUGUGUUUGACCAAAGGUGGUGCUGACUUAGUGGCCUAAGGUCGUGCCCUCCCUCCCCCACUGAAUCGAUAAAUAAUGCGACUUAUCAGAAAGAGAAAGAAUUGUUUACUUUUAAACCCUGGAUCCCAUAAAGGGAGAGGGGAGAGGCCUAAAGCCACAGAAGCUGUGGAAGGCGCCAUCCUGCCUGCCACAGGAAGGGCCUUGGACUGAGAGGACCGGAGCUGACUGGGGAUUAUUCAAAGCCAAAAGCCAACAGAGCCCCCAUGGAGAAGUGGAGGAUGCUCAGAUACUGCUAUGGAGCCCUGAGAAGUGAAAUGGGUCCAAGCCCUUGCCCAGGAUAGAGCGCUCCAAGCGCAUCCUCCGGGGACCCUUUUAAUCAGUGAAUUGUUCACCUCUCACUGUUUCUUCCCAGCAGAGCUAAGAGACUUCUAGAGCCUCUUGUGGAUGGUCAGCGAUAGCCCUGGUCACAAUAUGUGGAGCUGACAAGGUUCCCCUAUUAUCAGUGACAAUGGUGGAAUGUGGAGGUGAAGUUAACACCUUCGUGGCUACAGAGUUUCCUUAGCAGAGCUGUGGAGUGUGACAAUGGUGUUUGUGUCUAAACUAUCAAACGCCAUUAUCACACUAAAUAGCUACUGCUAGGCAAUCCUUCCCUCGAUAAAUGUCUUGGCAUCGUUUGCUUUGAGCAAGAAGGUUCAUCUGAUAUCAGUCUUCUCAAUCUUGUGUACUUACUGAAUAAAGUCUGGCUCUUUUGCACUCAUAACCAAUAUGGUUAGCUGAACCCUGCCUCUCACAUGCUGUUGUUACAUACCUUAGCUGGUGAUUAAUUUUCUUGUUUUCCCAAGUCAAUAAAAAGAUUGCAGACCAGGCACGGUGGCUCACGCCUGAAAUCCCAGCACUUUGGGAGGCCAAGGCAGGCGGAUCACUUGAGCUCAGGAGUUCAAGUCCAGCCUGGGCAGCAUGGUGAAACCGUGUCUCUACAAAAACUACAAAAAUUAGCCAGGCAUGGUGGCAUGUGCCUGUAAUCUCAGCUACUUGAGAGGCUGAGGUGGGAGGAUCAAUUGAGCCCACGAGGUUGAGGCUGUAGUGAGCUGUGAUGGUACCACUGCACUCCAGCCUGUGUGACAGAGCAAGAUCCUGUCUCAAAAAAUGAAAAUAAAAAGAUUGCAGAGUUCCUCAGAGCCCCCAACACAAGGCCAGGCACGAGGUAAUCAUUUAACCCAUGCUUAUAGACUUAAAAUGAAUAGUUAGGAAAGUGUUAGACGCAGAAGGCUAAGACUGGGCUAAAUCUAUGUUAUGCAGACAGACCGCAAGCUUAUAGGUACAAAAUUAAGGUGUGUGGGUCCUUCUCUUUUCGUCGUUAAAAAAUCCAACUUUCUAAUAAACUUACACAUGGUUUCACUGACGUUUCAGAAA